UGCAAGUCGAGCGAAUGGAUUGAGAGCUUGCUCUCAAGAAGUUAGCGGCGGACGGGUGAGUAACACGUGGGUAACCUGCCCAUAAGACUGGGAUAACUCCGGGAAACCGGGGCUAAUACCGGAUAAUAUUUUGAACUGCAUGGUUCGAAAUUGAAAGGCGGCUUCGGCUGUCACUUAUGGAUGGACCCGCGUCGCAUUAGCUAGUUGGUGAGGUAACGGCUCACCAAGGCAACGAUGCGUAGCCGACCUGAGAGGGUGAUCGGCCACACUGGGACUGAGACACGGCCCAGACUCCUACGGGAGGCAGCAGUAGGGAAUCUUCCGCAAUGGACGAAAGUCUGACGGAGCAACGCCGCGUGAGUGAUGAAGGCUUUCGGGUCGUAAAACUCUGUUGUUAGGGAAGAACAAGUGCUAGUUGAAUAAGCUGGCACCUUGACGGUACCUAACCAGAAAGCCACGGCUAACUACGUGCCAGCAGCCGCGGUAAUACGUAGGUGGCAAGCGUUAUCCGGAAUUAUUGGGCGUAAAGCGCGCGCAGGUGGUUUCUUAAGUCUGAUGUGAAAGCCCACGGCUCAACCGUGGAGGGUCAUUGGAAACUGGGAGACUUGAGUGCAGAAGAGGAAAGUGGAAUUCCAUGUGUAGCGGUGAAAUGCGUAGAGAUAUGGAGGAACACCAGUGGCGAAGGCGACUUUCUGGUCUGUAACUGACACUGAGGCGCGAAAGCGUGGGG
rnacentral:rRNA from 1 species